GCACCCAGCAAUAUUGCUGGUGCACCCAGCAAUUUUAGUGAAUGGCCAUUUUACCCUUUAAGUUAAAAAUUUAAAAACGCGCUCCUCUUCUCGGAAGACCACUGCUACUUCUUUUCUUCUUCCAUUCCUGUUGAUCCUCCGUGACACCGCGAGCCAAGCUUUCGUCUUCUUCCGGACACCACGAGCCAAGCUUCUUCUUCUUCUCCGUCUUCUCCGCGAACAGCCUUCGAGAUCAUGGCCAGAACACGAGGUUUAGGUCGUGCCAUAGGUAGAUUUGUAGGCAGAGAUAGAGCUGCUGGCGAGGAUGCUGGCGAUGUUCCCGAGAGGCGUAGGCCUACUGCCUCAGCCCGUAGGCUACGCGUUCAUCAGAUGACUACGGAGGGAC